rnacentral:rRNA from 1 species
AUACGUAGGGGGCGAGCGUUGUCCGGAAUGAUUGGGCGUAAAGGGCGCGUAGGCGGCGCGGUAAGUCUGGAGUGAAAGUCCUGCUUUCAAGGUGGGAAUUGCUUUGGAUACUGCCGCGCUUGAGUGCAGGAGAGGUUAUCGGAAUUCCCGGUGUAGCGGUGAAAUGCGUAGAGAUCGGGAGGAACACCAGUGGCGAAGGCGGGUAACUGGACUGCAACUGACGCUGAGGCGCGAAAGUGUGGGGAGCAAACAGGAUUAGAUACCCUGGUAGUCCACGCGGUAAACGAUGAAUGCUAGGUGUAGGGGGUAUCGACCCCUCCUGUGCCGGAGUGAACACAAUAAGCAUUCCGCCUGGGGAGUACGGCCGCAAGGUUGAAACUCAAAUGAAUUGACGGGG